CCAAGAGUACGUAGGAAAUACAGGACUUGGUGUUAAAAGUUGAUAACUAAACACCUUCAACACAAUUACAAUGAAGACAUUAAUAUGCUAGAUCCAGUGAAAUAACAUCAAAAGUAGCAUAGGCCAAAUCUUAAAAUAAUUUCUCAUGACAACAAUUGACUAGAAGCAUUACAUCCAAAUAAUGUUGGCAUUUUUCAAUCAUAAGGAAAACUUGUACUUCUCCAGUGCCUGCAAAAAUUACCGAACUUGAAUAUUGUAUGAUAGUGAUGAAUGAUAAAAAAAAAAAAUGCUAAAGCAAGAUAAUGCACAUCAAGAGGUGCAAUCCUAGCUUCAAAGUCUUUAUAACCGCUUUAUUAUGCACAAUUGUAGAAUCUUAUUUAAUAAAUAGAAACAAGAGGCUAUGCAAAAGGCAAUUGAAAUUAUUUUUCCUAAUGCACAAUUCUAACUUUAAAUUCUAAUGCAUAAUCAAGAAGUACAAUUCUAGAUUUUGAGGGAAAACAAGUGAAGAAUAUAAUUCAAUCACAAUGGAAGAAACUAAAAGUUGCAACCAUAACCACCAUUUAUAUUGAAAGAUGAAAUGAGAAACGAUUUCUUUUUCAUCCUAUAAAUUAUCGUUUCAGCUUAGUUUGUCAGCAACCAAUGGACCAUGUUAUCAAAUGAUAAAAGUUAUUUUAUUAGCAACAUAAUUAAACUGAAUUAGGAUACAUUUUUCACUUUCAAAAGUUCAGAGAAGUAAAAAGCCCAAAACAAAUAAUAUGAAAUAUUUCAGCAACACCUUGAAUCUUAACCAAAAAUAUUUAAUUAUUUGUUAUCAAAAACAUGAAUUUAAGGUCUGAAAAUAAAAUCUGAAAUAAAAAUACAUGCAUAAAUUAGAAUGAUAAAAGAAUUAAGCAGUACCUAAAGUGGUAGUUUAAGAAUCAACCUAACAGAAAUUUCAACACCCUUUCAUCAUCUUUAUGUGAGGUUCUU
rnacentral:lncRNA from 1 species